rnacentral:lncRNA from 12 species
GCUCAUGGCUUUGCUAACUGUCAGCCAAGUGGAAGUUGCUCCCAAAGGAUGGGUGAGCAUUGCUCCAAGCUCUCUGAGCUCUGUAGGUUUGAGGAAGGGAAGCCAGAGUAGAGGGAAGGAGAGGUCAAAGAAGAUCCCAGCAAUGAUACAUCAAAGAAGAUGGCACGAACACAUGACCUCCUCAAGAGAAAACAAGAGAAAACCCUCCUACCUCCCUUCUGCUUGACUCACAUCUGUCUGCAGCACCAAAUAGGCUUCCAGCCCCUAAGAAUGCCUGUGUCAGCAUCAUUCUGUAAAUUAUGAGCACCACCACCUCUCCAGUUAAUGCCAAGACCUGUCAAUUUUAGAAAUGAAACCUCUCUGUGAAAGAGCUUGCUGUUUUAUUACUUCUUUGCUUGCUGUGACAAAAUUUCACUUCCCAUUUGCACAGCUU